GACGAACGCUGGCGGCGUGCUUAACACAUGCAAGUCGAACGGAAAGGCCCUGCUUUUGUGGGGUGCUCGAGUGGCGAACGGGUGAGUAACACGUGAGUAACCUGCCCUUGACUUUGGGAUAACUUCAGGAAACUGGGGCUAAUACCGGAUAGGAGCUCCUGCUGCAUGGUGGGGGUUGGAAAGUUUGGGCGGUUGGGGAUGGACUCGCGGCUUAUCAGCUUGUUGGUGGGGUAGUGGCUUACCAAGGCUUUGACGGGUAGCCGGCCUGAGAGGGUGACCGGCCACAUUGGGACUGAGGUGCGGCCCAGACUCCUACGGGAGGCAGCAGUGGGGAAUAUUGCACAAUGGGCGGAAGCCUGAUGCAGCAACGCCGCGUGCGGGAUGACGGCCUUCGGGUUGUAAACCGCUUUCGCCUGUGACGAAGCGUGAGUGACGGUAAUGGGUAAAGAAGCACCGGCUAACUACGUG
rnacentral:rRNA from 1 species